GGUCGCACGGCGGUCUGACAGGU
rnacentral:snRNA from 1 species